AGAGUUUGAUCCUGGCUCAGGAUGAACGCUAGCGGCAGGCCUAAUACAUGCAAGUCGAACGGUGAUAGCAAUAUCAUAGUGGCGCACGGGUGCGUAACACGUAUGCAACCUACCUAUUAUUGGGGGAUAGCCUUUGGAAACGGAGAUUAAUACCGCAUAAUACGAUUGACUGGCAUCGGUUGAUUGUUAAAGCUUUGGCGAUAAUAGAUGGGCAUGCGUCCAAUUAGUUAGUUGGUUAGGUAACGGCUGACCAAGACGAUGAUUGGUAGGGGAUCUGAGAGGAUAAUCCCCCACACUGGCACUGAGAUACGGGCCAGACUCCUACGGGAGGCAGCAGUAGGGAAUAUUGGGCAAUGGGCGGAAGCCUGACCCAGCCAUGCCGCGUGCAGGAAGAAGGCGUUAUGCGUUGUAAACUGCUUUUUUAUAGGAAGAAGGAUCCCUUGCGAGGGAAGGUGACGGUACUAUAAGAAUAAGCACCGGCUAACUCCGUGCCAGCAGCCGCGGUAAUACGGAGGGUGCAAGCGUUGUCCGGAUUUAUUGGGUUUAAAGGGUGCGUAGGCGGUUUAUUAAGUCAGUGGUGAAAGACGGUCGCUCAACGAUUGCAGUGCCAUUGAUACUGGUAGACUUGAGUGAGAUU
rnacentral:rRNA from 1 species